GUUUUUAUAGUUUAAAAAAAACAAUGAUUUUGUAAAUCAAUAAAUAGAAAUUUAUUCUUUAAAACA
rnacentral:tRNA from 1 species